UUGAUUUCUUGGAGCAAGCCUGAGCAUCUCCAGUGGCCUUGGAUGUUCCUUAGGGCCCACAGCAUUGAGUCAAAGGGAGGGCUCCCCAGGAGGUCCACUCAAUAGCCCCAGUUUGAACUCAGACCAUCUAUACUUCAUCUAUGCUUCUUGACCUUGUCUGGCCCUUCUGUUCUGGAUGCCAAGAGCUACACAUCUUGUCUCACAUACCCUCCUGCUCCAGGCUGGCCUGGCCUCGGGAAUGGAAUCCAGGAAAGGAGGCAGACAAACAGAGCCCAGGCUCCUUAAAAAUAUAUAAACAUGAUAACAUGGAAAUGCGGCUCACUCCAAACUGCACGUGUCUGUGGGGACAUCACGAUGACUCAGUGUCCAGGCUCCCUGGCUGUGUCUCCAGCUCAAUAUAGAGGUGUAGAAGUGGCUGAAGAGGGCAACAGGAGCUCCCCAAGAAGGCUGCAGAAGAAGCACAAAAGCCCAGGGAGCUUUUAGAAGAGACACAGGCUACCAUGCAGGUUGAGUGGACUCCAGAGGCCUGAGUGUGCACAGUGACAAGGAUGGAAGUGUUGUAUUGUAUUCUCAGAACCCACUGUGAAAUUCCAAGAACUGCUUUUAUUUUGUCUCAGAAAAAGGUAAUUGAGGCAAGUAUAAAACUUCUAGAUUUAAGUUCUUCUGUGUGUGUCUGUGUGUACCUGUGUGUGUUUGUUGUUUUAUUGAAGUAUAGUUGGAAUGCUGGGCUACGUUGGUUUCAGGUGUACAGCAUAGUGAUUUGACAUGUCUAUGUGCUCUGUUACGUAACUACAAGUGUAAUUACCAUCUGUCCCCACACAACACUAUUAUGAAAUCCUUGAUUAUAUUCCCUGCGCUGUACCCUUCAUCCCUGUGCCUUGUUUUUGUUCAUUUUAUCUACCUCCCACUCUCCUUCAUGAAUUAUUCCCAUCCUCCCAUCCUCUUUCUGUCUGGCCACCACCAGUGUGUUCUCUGUAUUCUUGGGUCUUUUUCCAUUUCUG